GGUGGCUCAGUGGUAGAGCACUUGCCUUGCAUGCAUGAGGCCCUUGGUUCGAUUCCUCGGCACUA
rfam:Dipodomys ordii contig_16101, whole genome shotgun sequence.